CGCUUAGUAGUAACAACGAAUGGCGAGAAGUCAGCCGAGGUCGUAGUAGGGAAAAUGUACCGAAGGAC
rnacentral:ncRNA from 1 species